rnacentral:lncRNA from 1 species
UAUCUGUGGUAGAAAAAGAAGACGAAGCAGGCCCUGCCUGAGAUGGACCUCGGCACAAAACCGGGAUGUCUGGAGUUCCUUAUUAAGGCAAAUGCCGGUUGUUGCGGCGUUGAUGCUACUGAUUCGUCCUUGGGCGGCGAUCGUGGCUCAGUUUCUUGACUUUCUCACACUCUCCAGAGAAUUUGACACGCAAAUACUCGGGCCUCCCCGUUCGCGCAAUUUCUCCAGAAUUUCGGGCGGAUGCACUACCUUCCUGACCAAAAAUUUAAUUGAUUCUUUGCUCCACGGUCACGUGCACUUUUUUUUCGCUUAUAAUUUCCGUCGAUACUUGGGAUUCAAAAGAAUUAUAAUCGCUCUCCCAUUUUCAAUAAAGGCACCGGCUACCUGCACAUCAAUUCUUUCCAAGUAUAAGACCCCAUCGAAAUCUUAAAAAAAAAUCAGCCAGAAUGUAUCAAUCUCAUAUUUCCGAUUUUCUGGUACGUGGAAGAAGUUCUGCCUAGUAACACAUGAAUUUAAUUGGUAAUUGUUCAUUUAGCAGCGAGAAAUGCAGCUUCUUGUUAGUACUCAGUAGACGAUCCAUAAUUACGUACCGUCUGUUUUCUCCUAACGAGAACUAUCGAACUCCGAAUUUGAUGUGCCAAUAAUUCCCUCGAAUAGCCAGGGCCUUAGAAGUUCGUCUACCGUUUUCUUUCCACUUGCGGCCACAUAUAGCACCCUCAGUGCGAUCGGAAUAUCGUCUUUAAAGAUGGUUCCAGUCUACUAUUAAUUAUUUAAUUUUUUUUCUUGAUAGCACCACGAUUUCUCAACGUAAAAGUUUAACUAAUUUAUUUCGUCUAUGUGCGCUGCAUCCUUGACUGGUGUUCGUUUCGUUCUUGUGUGUAACUGAUUCGAAAUUUCUCAUUCCUUCAGACUAUUCACACACACAGACUAUUUUUAUUUUAAGGCAUGCAGUCCUUUUUUACAUGCUAAGCUACAAUACAUUCUAUUAUUCUACCUAGCAAAGCCGUAAGUUCUCUCAAUACCUUGAAAAAUUGUUACAGUAGAACUAAAAUAGAUACAAAGCUCAAAUUAAGCCAGAAAUGAUCUUGGCGUUGUAGGCUGGCGUAAAAUCCUGCUGAAAGCAACAAACAUUACCCUCGAAGAAUCUUUCAUUUAGCAUUUAGAGGCUCAACUACGAUAUCUAACAUCUGUUCUUACACUGCUGAGUUGAGGUCUUGAUAUCGGUUUCACAAAAAUGAAUAUCCGUCACGCCGUGGUAGGAAACUCCCCACCCUACCAUCAUUAAAGAAGGGUGUGGUACUAACUUUGAAUGCGUGGUGCUCAACGUUUAGCCCCUCUCUCGGCCGAUCUUCGAUGUCAUCUGCUUCUCUGUACCGUUGCGUUCUUACAAUGCCUUCUGAUUCCGGGGUCCUUAUACACAAAUUUGGUAGAAAAUAUGAAGUUAUCCUGAAACGUAGAGAGAACUAGAAAGUUCCAGAGAAAUGUGUGGCGGGAUACAACGAUGGCUCAAAAACAACACAGGGUUCUGGAGCCGGGGUCUACUUCUCGAAUAAUAACGGGAAGUGGGUUUUUCCUUUGGGACAAUAUGCUGCUGGUUUUGAAGCUGCGAUCCUAAGGGCAGAACCUGGAUGAUCGACAAACUGUUGAAGGACAGAAGCAUCCUAAUCUGUAGCGAUACCCACCAGUCGUUUGAUCACCUCGAAAAUCGUUAAGGAAUGUAGAAUGGGUAGCAUCACAUCCAUUAACGGAAAUACCGCGAUACAUAAACGAAUUCAGGAUAUUCUUUUAGACGGGGGAGUCGAGCCACCACGGUCUGAGUGCUUAGAGGCUAUGCUUCUCCCCCCACCAUAAGCACACAAAUUCUGGUCUUAAUAUCUACACCUAAACUGUUUUCUGGAAUAUACUCUACUAUUAGCCGUUUGAUUUGUUCAUUAUAACUAAGGUUUAGUCUUUUCGUUUGGUCUGUGAUUUCCGUGAAAAGUACUCCCCAUUAUUUAGCUUCGUAAUUUGAAGAUUGCUUUAUUCGCUGAUUUAUCAGUGACAUAUUUAUGGUACGACGUGGUGGUGUCAUCGUGCACACACAUGCAUUCGUGGAAGGAUUCCUUUUUAUUUCCAGUCAACUUUUAUUGAUGAUUCAAUCUUAAUACUCGUGCUAAUUUGAGUGGUCGUCACGUAGAGUACGAACGUGUUUCAGCGUAUGUGAUUUUCUGGACGUCGUCGCUCUAAUCACUACUCACACUCAAUUACUUCCUCGAACUACUUUUUCAUACACACUUUGGUGUCGUGCAGUUCCCUUCGUGUUAUCAUAGUUCUUCAGAGCCUUCAUGGUCUCUUGUGUUUUUUUCGUCAAAUUAGAAAGGAUAUCAGAUAAGCCGCUAACUUUCGCUUUUGAGUUGUCUUCGAAAUUCAAUGUUAUCUUUUGCCGUAUAACAACGGUAUUAACCCUCGAAUGUUGAAAAAGGUGAUAUAUAGAUAUCGAUGGUAUACAAAGAUGAAAUUUAAGAACUCUAUCUUAUUUUAGAUGUGUCGUCACCGUUUUGUUUGUAACUGACUCGGAAUUUCUCAUAAACACAAACCAAUUUUCUCUUUCUGUUCAUUCUCAUCUAUCCUACAUAUCUUUAAGUUUGCAGUCCUUUCUUAUAUGCUAGGCUUCAAUAAAUUCUAUGAUUCUUCCUUAAUGCCAUGAGGCUUAUCCCGGGCUUUGGAAUCUAGAAAAAUCUAUAUAUCUUAAAAGUUAAGUAUCACAACAAUGUAACAAAUUUAUAUGCACGAGUACGUCUCAAUUAAGUUCCGCGGAACUCAAUAAUAGUUCCUAAAUGACUUUAAAAUUCGGGACAAGAUCAAACAUUUUCUGCUUUUCAAUAUCUGGACAAUCAAUCAUAUUGAUUCAGAACGCUGAAGUAGAUACAUACUUUUCAAACAAGUAAAACUUUACGUCCUUUGUGAACGUUAGGGGGAGAUCCAUUAUGAUUUCACUGGUCCACAUUAAGGACAAGAUUAUUGGUUCUAUGUGUUUGAACUUCACAAAAUUCAUCUGAUUUGUGUAGAAGAAAAAAGGUAGAAUACAUUUUAUUAAAAAUAUUAAGGAUGGACUAUCAUGUCUCCUAAGGGACUUCGGUUCCACAGAUGAUAUCUGCUUACUUUCUUAUCGAGUCAUAGAUUUCAGAUAAAUAGUUGCAGAUUUAGCAAAAAUCCUUGAAAAAAGGUAAGACUGAAGAUAAAUCGCAAUGCAUUCAAGGAGUUCAUUGCAGCAUGUAGGAUUUCGAAAGACGUUGGUUGAUACACGUCAGACAGUGAUGUGAGAACCUCAUGACUUCACCCGUAUGAGAAGCUUAUAAUCGAGAGGAAGUGAUGAUCCAAAUCAUGACCUGCUACUGAAAGGGAAGAGGCUUAAGGAAUACAUCACAAUAAAAACAGAAUUUAGAGCUCUAGUUAUAAUUAGAUAUCAAUUUUAGUCCCACUCCGGAAGCCUUUAGGAACUCUACACUGCUAUUGGGUGAAGUAGUUGGGACAGAGCAAAUUAAUCUAUUUUGAAUUUCUGUGCAAUGUUUUGAAGUUGCAUCGAUUGUUAAGGUAGAUACAUGAACUUGACAUGUUCUAACAAAAGAGGCUAAAAAGGAAUAAAAAAACCUGACUUAGAAUUUUGUAUAUUUAUUGUGGUAAAAAAGAAAGUCAUGAGAAAUUUGACCAUGAAGUUUAUCAGUUCCCUGCAUUUUCUGCAAGCGUCUGUACUUCAACAAGCUUCGCUCUAAGUGCUCUGAAAAUUUCACAGCAAACAGCAGCAUUGUGCGCCUUUAUCAAGAGAAUCAUUUUGAAUGCUCCACCGUAAAUGGCUGAUUCAUUCCCUUAAGGCCUAAUCUGGUUUAGAAUCCUGGAAGUUGUGACUCUAAUCCAGUCCCUUUGAAGUUUGCACAUCAGAACUUAAUCUGCUGCAAUUAAAAAUAAAGGGACGAGAUAAAAUCUAGUCUAUCUUAUGACGCCUAAACAAUGUAACUAAUUUGUGUAGAUGAUAUCUAAUAGACACAAAUUUAAAAUUGACCUAAUUUUAUAUUAUAAUUCUCUGACGUACCAUGUAACCAUUAUCGUGCAUUCAUUAAAAAUGUUUUGCUAGCUUUGUUGAGGCAGAACUCGAUUGAAUGGACGAAGAUUAUUAUUUAUAACCUUUUCACGCUUUACUGUCAUCUAUUGUCUUUAAUAUUUGUCAGAUAAGGGAAGGUCACAGAGUGAUUAUAACUUUUUUAAUUUAAUCUCUUCUGAAAUUCAUAUUUUAUUGUAAUGAUGUUGAAACGAUGAUAUUUCCUUCAAUAAAGUGAACAAAGAAAACAAA